UGGGGAAUAUUGGGCAAUGGGCGAAAGCCUGACCCAGCGACGCCGCGUGAGGGAAGACGGUCUUCGGAUUGUAAACCUUUGUCAACAGGGAAGAAACAAAUGACGGUACCUGUGGAGGAAGCCACGGCUAACUACGUGCCAGCAGCCGCGGUAAUACGUAGGUGGCGAGCGUUAUCCGGAUUUACUGGGUGUAAAGGGUGUGUAGGCGGGGCAGCAAGUCAGAUGUGAAAAUUAUGGGCUUAACUCAUAACCUGCAUUUGAAACUGUUGCUCUUGAGAGUGGAAGAGGUAAACAGAAUUCCCAGUGUAGCGGUGAAAUGCGUAGAUAUUGGGAGGAAUACCGGUGGCGAAGGCGGUUUACUGGGCCAUUACUGACGCUGAGACACGAAAGCGUGGGGAGCAAACAGG
rnacentral:rRNA from 2 species